CAACCAAUAGCUUUUUCUUCAUUGAAACAAUCGGUCUCUCUUACUCUGUGCAUAGAAAACGUCUCCGCCAUAACCAAAUUGAUGCAAGCUCAAAAUUUUAACCAAAUGAGAGAAUAAACCUACCCUAUGACUCGACUUGAUAUUCUAUAUAUGAGGCUAUCAACGAAAAUCACAGAAGACAACAACAGCAGCAACAAUUAAUUUCAUAUUUCUGGUUUAAACCCUAAGGCUUUGUUUGGAUUGAUGGAACCGGAUGGAGCGGAGCGGAAUGAGAUGGAAUAAAAUGAUAUUCCAUUGUUUGGAUAAUUUAAAAACGGAUGGAACGGAGCGGAAUAGAGUGGUAUGGAUUCCAUUCCAUUCCAUCACUUACCACCAUUUUUCUUACCCUCCGAUUUGGGCGGAAUGAACAACUUAUCUUGUUCCGUCCUAAAAUUUUCCAAACAAUGGAAUGGUAUCUUCGUUCCGCUCCGCUCCAUCCCACUCCGCUCCAUCCCACUCCGCUCCAUCCCACUCCGCUCCAUCCCACUCCGCUCCAUCCCACUCCGCUCCAUUGAUUUUAUGAUAUCCAAACAUAGCUAAAGCUUCAAUUUCAAAUUAAACAAUCAUGGAGCACGGUUUCGUACAAUUAGCAAGGGGUUUCAAUUCAGAAGAACAAGUAGAGUAUGAUGGUAACGAGAAUUCGAGAUAAAAAAAAAAAACUCACAAGGGAGCAGGUCCACUGGUUUUCCGAUGCGGCGACGGCGAAGAGGUUCAGAUAGGUUUGAUUUUCGUCCUCCCUUCCUCUGUUACUCUUCUUCCACCUUUCUUCCUCUGAAUUUCGCAAGAGAUAGAUUCGUUGUGUAGUCAAAAGGCCGUUGGCUGUUGCGGUUUGGUAUCGAGGAUACUGUUGGUGCGUUGCUGUGCUUCUUAUUGUUCUAUUCUCUGAUUUCCGCGGUGGUGCGCAAGCAGUCGGUGAUGAGAGGCUGAGGUAUCGGCGUCGCGCGAUCAGGAUCAGUGUAAGGCUCAUGGACCUUGUCUUCUUUCUAUCUCAAUUCAAUUCUGUGAAUCUUGUGUCUUCUGACUCUUAAGGGCCUGCAAGCACAGUUGGAAGAACAACAAUGAGAACGAAUAAAAAGGUGAGAAAAAACUAUACCAUCGGCUGGGCGGUGAUUCGACUCCGUGAAACUAUAGGUUCAGUGGCCGUUGGUUUCGUGAUGAUGUUGUUCCCAAUUGUGAAUCGGAUAUGAGGAAUGUUAAAUUGCUGCUGCGUUGCAGCUGUUGAACCUGGUUUUGAGAAUUUCCUAAGCCUGUCGCAUGAUCCUUCCUAUGCUGUUAUUUUUAAUUAUUUCCUUCUAAUCCUUGUUCCUGUAAAACAAAACACAACACACAAGAAAAACAAAUGGUAAUAGUGGUAUUAAAUAAAUGUUGAUUCCUGUC